rnacentral:sRNA from 1 species
AGCUGUUCCCCUCUGGAGGUUUUUGACCUUCAAACUUGUCAGGCCGCGGAGACAUCCAGCGGCCUUCUUUUUUUGGAAUC